rnacentral:tRNA from 1 species
AGGUAGACGCCGGAUGAACGGGUAUCAUUGAUGUUGAUAAGUAUGAGAUAUACCUCUCUCUACUUU